GAUGAACGCUGGCGGCGUGCCUAAUACAUGCAAGUCGAGCGAACGGACGAGAAGCUUGCUUCUCUGAUGUUAGCGGCGGACGGGUGAGUAACACGUGGAUAACCUACCUAUAAGACUGGGAUAACUUCGGGAAACCGUAGCUAAUACCGGAUAAUAUUUUGAACCGCAUGGUUCAAAAGUGAAAGACGGUCUUGCGGUCACUUAUAGAUGGAUCCGCGCUGCAUUAGCUAGUUGGUAAGGUAACGGCUUACCAAGGCAACGAUGCAUAGCCGACCUGAGAGGGUGAUCGGCCACCCUGGAACUGAGACACGGUCCAUACUCCUACGGGAGGCAGCAGUAGGGAAUCUUCCGCAAUGGGCGAAAGCCUGACGGAGCAACGCCGCGUGAGUGAUGAAGGUCUUCGGAUCGUAAAACUCUGUUAUUAGGGAAGAACAUAUGUGUAAGUAACUGUGCACAUCUUGACGGUACCUAAUCAGAAAGCCACGGCUAACUACGUG
rnacentral:rRNA from 1 species